UACAAUUGUAAUUAUUAUUUAUUGUUCAUUUACAUGUUCUUACUGCAAAGCCAACAAUAAAGCUGUUAGAAAACCGCUGCUUCGUGUGCUGAACGUCACCAAACUCAAGUCCUGAUUAUCUCUCCCUGCUGAAUCUGUACCAGCUGAUAACUUGCCAUCGUUUGCGAGUGCCAAGAGAUACAUGUGUUUAAUUAAUCGUCUCGGGUGUCAGGUUAAACCCAUGGAUUGCUUGUCACUUUCCUGAGCUUCGCGUUUCUCAGAAAGCUGAUGAGGUGUAAUGAAGCAUCGCUAAGUAUACACAGAGUGGAAGCAGUAUGGAGGGAUGUGAAGAGGACUGACAUUUUCUAAAGGCCACUGUGGCCAUUUUGCCAAUGUAAAGUCAUUUUUUCUGUAUUUGAAUCAAACAUAAGUCAUAAUUGAAACAAGGUAUCGAUCGGAGGCUGACAGUUAUAUUGGUUACACAACAUUAAUCGAUGCCACCUUAGCAGAGUGUGAUCUUGAUUUAGCGUCGAUGUACAGGACAUGGCAUUAAGCCAUGAUAGCUGCCUUAUGCACAUCUGUAACGUGAUACUUCACUUGGUGUAUUUGCACAGGGGUUUUAAUUCCUUCAGCUACCAGACUGACUUUUAAACAGGGGCUAAAGGCUAAGCAUACAUAAUCCCUGUGCAAAUGUAAUGCUCACCAGAAGGCAAAAUUACGGAAUCGAUUAAAUACAGAAAUCAGACUGUUAUUUUUGUAGCAGCGGUUGAACCAAAUGAUCAGAAUUCACUCAACUUUAUUUGCUCUCAUCUGUAUUUGUUGAGGCCAGUUCAUGAUGUCUGCAUGACUGAUGUAGACUUUGAAAGUAGACUGUGGAUGUGCAUGCAGUUGUGUUCAUACUACACCAGCAGCCAUAUGGCCACUUACACUGAACACAGAAAAACACAUGGGACACCCCUGGAUGUUUCUGAAAGGCUUUUUGUAGGAUAUAGCAGCUGGUUACAGAUUGGACUGCAGCAGCGUGUCAAUGCAAUUAUUCCAGAGAUGUGCCGAGCAAAGUGUAUGAACGUAGCACGAGACUUCUAGAGAAUUUCGAAGUCCAGCAGAAACUACCUCAGCUCCAUCUUUUUAAAUGAAUUAUAAAGAAUAAAUCUAGUUGUAUAACAUAGACCUUUGCAGAUUUGGUUGGAUGAACAAACAGCAUGUACUGACCUUUAGUCUUCGCAUCCCUAAUGGUGAGCUGCAAUAGAUGGGAAUUCAUUUUAGCUGGUUUGAAAGGU
ensembl:lncRNA